ACGCACGCUGGCGGCGCGCCUAACACAUGCAAGUCGAACGGAGCUGAGAGAAGCUUGCUUUUCUUAGCUUAGUGGCGAACGGGUGAGUAACGCGUGAGUAACCUGCCCUGGAGUGGGGGACAACAGUUGGAAACGACUGCUAAUACCGCAUAAGCCCACGAUCCGGCAUCGGAUUGAGGGAAAAGGAUUUAUUCGCUUCAGGAUGGACUCGCGUCCAAUUAGCUAGUUGGUGAGGUAACGGCCCACCAAGGCGACGAUUGGUAGCCGGACUGAGAGGUUGAACGGCCACAUUGGGACUGAGACACGGCCCAGACUCCUACGGGAGGCAGCAGUGGGGGAUAUUGCACAAUGGGGGAAACCCUGAUGCAGCGACGCCGCGUGGAGGAAGAAGGUUUUCGGAUUGUAAACCCCUGUCGUUAGGGACGAUAAUGACGGUACCUAACAAGAAAGCACCGGCUAACUACGUG
rnacentral:rRNA from 1 species